AACGAACGCUAGCGGCGCAUAUUAAGCAUGCAAGUCGAACGGUAAGGCUCCUUCGGGAGUACACGAGUGGCAAACGGGUGCGUAACACGUGGUUUAUCUGCCUAUCGCUUGGGGAUAACCUUCAGAAAUGAGGGCUAAUACCGAAUACGACCUACGGGUGAAAGAUUUAUCGGCGAUAGAGGAGACUGCGGCCCAUUAGCUAGUUGGUGGGGUAAAGCCUACCAAGGCGAUGAUGGGAGCCGGCCUGAGAGGGUGGCCGGCCACAUUGGGACUGAGACACGGCCCAGACUCCUACGGGAGGCAGCAGCUAAGAAUCUUCCGCAAUGGGCGCAAGCCUGACGGAGUGACGCCGCGUGAAUGAUGAAGGCAUUUAUGUUGUAAAGUUUCUUUUCUGUGCGAAGAAGGUUAUGCGUAGGCAUAAUUGACGGUAUC
rnacentral:rRNA from 1 species